rnacentral:rRNA from 1 species
UUGAAAGGGAAACGAUUGAAGUCAGUUGUCCCCGUGAGUAAACAGUCUUUAGGGUUUGCUUUUGUGGAAUCUGAAGACUUUAAAGCCUCUCGGCCUGCCAAUUUUGUCACUUUGGGGUUAUUUUUUUCGUAUGUAAGUUAAACUCAAUUUUGGUGGUCCAUAAAAUGAUGGAAGAAAUGAAGCUUGGAUCUGUAAUGAAGUUGUAAUAGCCUCGGGAGGAGUGGUGGUCGGGAUUGAGGGUUGCCACCGAAUCCUUCGGGGCUACCUGUCUGAUCUCUGAACGUUGCUCUGGUGCCGAAAGCUUGCUUACGGUUAUCAAAGUCGAUGGUCAAUAGGUUAGAAUGGGUUAAAUUCGUUAAGGAUGUUGACGUA